CCCACACCGGCCCCUGCGGCCUCCCGGGAGGCUGUGACUCAGGAGUCGCGGGAGGCUCCGACUCAGGAGUCGCGGGAGGCUCCGGGCCCUGUCUCCAGCAGGGGGCUGCAGGCGAGGGCGCGCUGGGGCGGGGGCGGGCGGGCUGCACAGAGGGGUCGGAUGUGGGGCGAGUUGGGCAGAGGAAGAGGAACCGCAGAUGCCGGGUGGCGGGAGAGGGGCUGGGGCUGCAGGGAGACAGGACCCGAUUUCUGCCUAGCAACAUCACAACCAAUCAAGAUGCAAUUAAACCUGUCAGUUCGGCUCAUCCUUAACUGGGAUUGGCUACUCGCAGUAUGCUUAUCCCAAGUUUUCAUUGGCUGACGGCCACCUGUAUGGAAAUAAGAAUUACCCGGGACUCUCAGGCCCUUCUCAGCCGUACCGACCUGUGGCUUAGUGCGCUGAAACCUGCAAGGUCGGAGCCGAAACUCCUGGGCUUGCUUGUUGUCCUGCCUUCUCUUCCUCAAAGGAGAUCUCUUGAAUAUUGCCUUUUCCCUCUGCGCCCUGCCUAAGGCCUAGUCUGAAAGAAGUCCGACCAAAUAACCUGAAAUAAUGCGGAUUUGCAUGCUUUCUGUAUCUUCUUUGCAUUCUCUAGGUUCAAGGUCAAGAUUUUGCCCCUUCCCUCCAAUGCCGCCAGUGUUCUAGCCCCUUUCUUCCACGUCCACCUAAGGGGCAGCUUCUCUCCGUGUGAAGUUCCUCCGUCCCGCCCCGGGUUUGCCAAAACCCUCCCUUCUGGCUCAGCUUCCUCAAUUCCCUACCGACCCUCCUCCAUUUCAAGAUCCAGGCAUCUCGCAAAACAAUCCAGUUUAGGAGGGAGUUAGAGGGGGAGAGGACCCCCCCCCCAAAAAAACCCUCCAUCCUCUCUCCCCAUCCAUUUUCUCCGAGGGAGCCGAGUUUGACAGCGAAUUCAUUCCGAGCGGGGAGGGUGAUUUAUUCUUCAAAUAUACCGACAAGUGCGGGCAUGAUGGAGCCCAUUAAAAUGUUGGGAGAUUGUUUUUAUGAUUGAAGUCUG
rnacentral:lncRNA from 10 species